AAUGAACGCUGGCGGCAGGCCUAACACAUGCAAGUCGAACGGAUCCCUCGGGAUUAGUGGCGGACGGGUGAGUAACGCGUGGGAACAUACCCUUUGGUACGGAAUAGCCUCGGGAAACUGGGAGUAAUACCGUAUGUGCUCGAAAGAGGAAAGAUUUAUCGCCUUUGGAUUGGCCCGCGUUGGAUUAGGUAGUUGGUGGGGUAAUGGCCUACCAAGCCGACGAUCCAUAGCUGGUUUGAGAGGAUGAUCAGCCACACUGGGACUGAGACACGGCCCAGACUCCUACGGGAGGCAGCAGUGGGGAAUCUUAGACAAUGGGGGAAACCCUGAUCUAGCCAUGCCGCGUGAUCGAUGAAGGCCUUAGGGUUGUAAAGAUCUUUCAGGUGGGAAGAUAAUGACUGUACCACCAGAAGAAGCCCCGGCUAACUCCGUGCCAGCCGCCGCCGUAA
rnacentral:rRNA from 1 species